ACUUAAAUUGAAGAGUUUGAUCAUGGCUCAGAUUGAACGCUGGCGGCAGGCCUAACACAUGCAAGUCGAGCGGUAGCACAGAGAGCUUGCUCUCGGGUGACGAGCGGCGGACGGGUGAGUAAUGUCUGGGAAACUGCCUGAUGGAGGGGGAUAACUACUGGAACGGUAGCUAAUACCGCAUAAUGUCGCAAGACCAAAGUGGGGGACCUUCGGGCCUCAUGCCAUCAGAUGUGCCCAGAUGGGAUUAGCUAGUAGGUGGGGUAACGGCUCACCUAGGCGACGAUCCCUAGCUGGUCUGAGAGGAUGACCAGCCACACUGGAACUGAGACACGGUCCAGACUCCUACGGGAGGCAGCAGUGGGGAAUAUUGCACAAUGGGCGCAAGCCUGAUGCAGCCAUGCCGCGUGUGUGAAGAAGGCCUUCGGGUUGUAAAGCACUUUCAGCGGGGAGGAAGGCGAUAAGGUUAAUAACCUUGUCGAUUGACGUUACCCGCAGAAGAAGCACCGGCUAACUCCGUGCCAGCAGCCGCGGUAAUACGGAGGGUGCAAGCGUUAAUCGGAAUUACUGGGCGUAAAGCGCACGCAGGCGGU
rnacentral:rRNA from 1 species